AUUACAGGAUGCCAGAGUUUAGGCGAGUUAGGAUUAAAGCAUGUUACUGUUACAGACUGGAUGGGGGUUUGUUGGCCCUGGGUUCUUGGAGGUGUAAGAGACUGCAUCGGAUGGUCUGGACUGGAGGCGUGGAAAUCCAUUUUCUUGCUGCAUAUCCAGACCCUGAUCCCAGCGGACCAGGCGCAGCCACCAGCUCCACGAGGGCCUAGCCACCGGCUUUGCCAAAAAAAAAAAUGUGCACUGUAUUGUUGAAGGGAAAAAUCGCAAAAGAAAAGGCAAAAUGCUUAUGACUUUGUUAACGCUUUAUUUUGGGGCAUUUGUUUUGUUAACUGUCAUUGUAAUAAUUUUGAUGAUUUAUGUUUGUUUACCCUGUGAUUGCCAUUGUGGGCGAUCGCCGCCUUUACCUAAUUCCCCAGAGCCGUGAACAAGUAAUGCGACCUGGGACACGUUUUUGGUUUUAUAAGAUAAGAUGUUGUUAAUUAGAUUUAGAUAUGUUAAGAUAAUUUAGAUAACUAAGAUGUUGUUGUUUAACUUAGAAAUGUUGUAUUUAGAAAAGCUGUUUUUAAUUAGUAUAACCAUCGUGACAUAUUUUUGUUUGUUUUUUAAUGAGCAUUUACAUAUUUUUUUUAUACCAAUAUAGAAUGGGCCUUAGGAAACCAAGUCGCUUAAGCUGUACGCAUCUACCUCACGCGCCUUCUACCUCUAUCCUUUUCUUUCCUGUCUUUUUCUCCUCUGCGGCCAGCACCUUAUCUUGCUCUUUCUCUUUUUCUCUCCUGCCGCACCUUAUCUCACCCUUUGUCUUUCUCGCCGAGUUAACCUCGUUUGAUGUAUAUAGUUUGAUGUUAUGAUAUAUAUUUUGUUAAAGUUUGGAAAAAAAAAAAGCUAUUAACCUGCGAAGGUUUGGUGUGUUGUAGCAGUUGGCGCGGUGGGGUCUGGAAGGCGACCGGCGCUGUGAGGUCCGGUGGAUGGCAGUGGGGUGGAAGCAGCUGUUGGGGGGUCCGUCAUUUGCACGGCCCAGCCCGCACCCCCCGGCAAGCUUCGGAAUGUCUGGGUCCCUGUGGCAGUUUUUGAAUGGUCCCUCCCAGUUGGGUCAACGGGCCCAGCGCAGCCAGUAGAUCCCGUUGGAGCUCCUCCGUGUGGCAUAAAUCCCUCGGCAUUUGUGAUUCAGGAGAGGUAACACUGGAAUCUGCAGAUCUCCUUAGAUGACCUUCAGGAGCUGUGGGCUGUGGGUGGGGACUGGCUCUCUUUCUCUGGUCCAGUGACUGGUGUCGUUGCUCGUAGGAAGUGGAAGAGCUUUAACAGGCAAAUCUGUCAUUUCCCUUCUUCUGGGGGUUACGGGAGCUGUUCUGGAGGUGAGGGAGGUGUAAAUUCACGGUCUUGAGCCAACCUGGAUAGAGCAGAGGUGGACUGUGAUUUGUCUGACCUCAACUGUGUAUCUGUAAUGCAGUUGUAAUCGUCUCUGCCUGCACAACUGGCACGAGGUCCUAUUUUAUUUUGAAGGAGCUAUAGUGAAUAAAGUCAGUGAAUCUAGUGCACGCUCUUUCUGACCAAAUAGAUAAGCAUUUACUUUAGGAUAAGAGAAACAGUACCUUGAACUCACUGGUUAUCCUGACUCAACUCUCUGUUGCGUAAAAAUGGGGCCAAGGUUGGCUCGGGCAUGGGUGUCUACAUGAGAGACAUCCACGUUUAGUCAGAUGAAUCCCACCCCAGUCUCCUGUGUUCCUCAUCAGGUCUCUGACAACUCUGCUGUUAGCCCUUAUUGAAGGCAAGUACAGUCUCUGUCUCCUUUCUUUCUUUCUUUCUUUCUUUCUUUAACACAAAGGAAAUUCAGUCUUAGACAUUCAGUUGCAGAAGAAAGUUUGUGUUUGAAGAUCACGCUUGGAUCUUCGAGUAGGUCUAAUUAGAUGCCUUUUCCUCUUUGCUUCAUCCCUGAUAAGCUUAGGCACUCUCUGUCCUGUUUCUGAGGACCACUGCCC